rnacentral:rRNA from 1 species
ACAGGGAUUGCCCUAGUAACGGCGAGUGAAGCGGCAUCAGCUCAAAUUUGAAAUCUGGCUCUUUCAGAGUCCGAGUUGUAAUUUGCAGAGGGCGCUUUGGUGUCGGCAGCGGUCCAAGUUCCUUGGAACAGGACGUCACAGAGGGUGAGAAUCCCGUACGUGGUCGCUGACCUACACCGUGUAAAGCCCCUUCGACGAGUCGAGUUGUUUGGGAAUGCAGCUCUAAAUGGGAGGUAAAUUUCUUCUAAAGCUAAAUACUGGCCAGAGACCGAUAGCGCACAAGUAGAGUGAUCGAAAGAUGAAAAGCACUUUGGAAAGAGAGUUAAACAGCACGUGAAAUUGUUGAAAGGGAAGCGCUUGCAGCCAGACUUGCUUGCAGUUGCUCAUCCGGGCUUUUGCCCGGUGCACUCUUCUGCGAGCAGGCCAGCAUCAGUUUGGACGGUUGGAUAAAGGCCUCUGUCACGUACCUUCUCUCGGGAAGGCCUUAUAGGGGAGGCGUCAUGCAACCAGUCUGGACUGAGGUCCGCGCAUCUGCUAGGAUGCUGGCGUAAUGGCUGUAAGCGGCCCGUCUG